rnacentral:rRNA from 2 species
UUAAGCGACUAAGCGUACACGGUGGAUGCCCUGGCAGUCAGAGGCGAUGAAGGACGUGCUAAUCUGCGAUAAGCGUCGGUGAGGUGAUAUGAACCGUUAUAACCGGCGAUUUCCGAAUGGGGAAACCCAGUGUGUUUCGACACACUAUCAUUAACUGAAUCCAUAGGUUAAUGAGGCGAACCGGGGGAACUGAAACAUCUAAGUACCCCGAGGAAAAGAAAUCAACCGAGAUUCCCCCAGUAGCGGCGAGCGAACGGGGAGGAGCCCAGAGCCUGAAUCAGUGUGUGUGUUAGUGGAAGCGUCUGGAAAGGCGCGCGAUACAGGGUGACAGCCCCGUACACAAAAAUGCACAUGCUGUGAGCUCGAUGAGUAGGGCGGGACACGUGGUAUCCUGUCUGAAUAUGGGGGGACCAUCCUCCAAGGCUAAAUACUCCUGACUGACCGAUAGUGAACCAGUACCGUGAGGGAAAGGCGAAAAGAACCCCGGCGAGGGGAGUGAAAAAGAACCUGAAACCGUGUACGUACAAGCAGUGGGAGCCUCUUAAUGGGGUGACUGCGUACCUUUUGUAUAAUGGGUCAGCGACUUAUAUUCUGUAGCAAGGUUAACCGAAUAGGGGAGCCGAAGGGAAACCGAGUCUUAACUGGGCGUUAAGUUGCAGGGUAUAGACCCGAAACCCGGUGAUCUAGCCAUGGGCAGGUUGAAGGUUGGGUAACACUAACUGGAGGACCGAACCGACUAAUGUUGAAAAAUUAGCGGAUGACUUGUGGCUGGGGGUGAAAGGCCAAUCAAACCGGGAGAUAGCUGGUUCUCCCCGAAAGCUAUUUAGGUAGCGCCUCGUGAAUUCAUCUCCGGGGGUAGAGCACUGUUUCGGCAAGGGGGUCAUCCCGACUUACCAACCCGAUGCAAACUGCGAAUACAGGAGAAUGUUAUCACGGGAGACACACGGCGGGUGCUAACGUCCGUCGUGAAGAGGGAAACAACCCAGACCGCCAGCUAAGGUCCCAAAGUCAUGGUUAAGUGGGAAACGAUGUGGGAAGGCCCAGACAGCCAGGAUGUUGGCUUAGAAGCAGCCAUCAUUUAAAGAAAGCGUAAUAGCUCACUGGUCGAGUCGGCCUGCGCGGAAGAUGUAACGGGGCUAAACCAUGCACCGAAGCUGCGGCAGCGACACUAUGUGUUGUUGGGUAGGGGAGCGUUCUGUAAGCCUGUGAAGGUGGCCUGUGAGGGUGGCUGGAGGUAUCAGAAGUGCGAAUGCUGACAUAAGUAACGAUAAAGCGGGUGAAAAGCCCGCUCGCCGGAAGACCAAGGGUUCCUGUCCAACGUUAAUCGGGGCAGGGUGAGUCGACCCCUAAGGCGAGGCCGAAAGGCGUAGUCGAUGGGAAACAGGUUAAUAUUCCUGUACUUGGUGUUACUGCGAAGGGGGGACGGAGAAGGCUAUGUUGGCCGGGCGACGGUUGUCCCGGUUUAAGCGUGUAGGCUGGUUUUCCAGGCAAAUCCGGAAAACCAAGGCUGAGGCGUGAUGACGAGGCACUACGGUGCUGAAGCGACAAAUGCCCUGCUUCCAGGAAAAGCCUCUAAGCAUCAGGUAACAUCAAAUCGUACCCCAAACCGACACAGGUGGUCAGGUAGAGAAUACCAAGGCGCUUGAGAGAACUCGGGUGAAGGAACUAGGCAAAAUGGUGCCGUAACUUCGGGAGAAGGCACGCUGAUAUGUAGGUGAAGCGACUUGCUCGUGGAGCUGAAAUCAGUCGAAGAUACCAGCUGGCUGCAACUGUUUAUUAAAAACACAGCACUGUGCAAACACGAAAGUGGACGUAUACGGUGUGACGCCUGCCCGGUGCCGGAAGGUUAAUUGAUGGGGUUAGCGGUAACGCGAAGCUCUUGAUCGAAGCCCCGGUAAACGGCGGCCGUAACUAUAACGGUCCUAAGGUAGCGAAAUUCCUUGUCGGGUAAGUUCCGACCUGCACGAAUGGCGUAAUGAUGGCCAGGCUGUCUCCACCCGAGACUCAGUGAAAUUGAACUCGCUGUGAAGAUGCAGUGUACCCGCGGCAAGACGGAAAGACCCCGUGAACCUUUACUAUAGCUUGACACUGAACAUUGAGCCUUGAUGUGUAGGAUAGGUGGGAGGCUUUGAAGUGUGGACGCCAGUCUGCAUGGAGCCGACCUUGAAAUACCACCCUUUAAUGUUUGAUGUUCUAACGUUGGCCCCUAAUCGGGGUUGCGGACAGUGUCUGGUGGGUAGUUUGACUGGGGCGGUCUCCUCCUAAAGAGUAACGGAGGAGCACGAAGGUUGGCUAAUCCUGGUCGGACAUCAGGAGGUUAGUGCAAUGGCAUAAGCCAGCUUGACUGCGAGCGUGACGGCGCGAGCAGGUGCGAAAGCAGGUCAUAGUGAUCCGGUGGUUCUGAAUGGAAGGGCCAUCGCUCAACGGAUAAAAGGUACUCCGGGGAUAACAGGCUGAUACCGCCCAAGAGUUCAUAUCGACGGCGGUGUUUGGCACCUCGAUGUCGGCUCAUCACAUCCUGGGGCUGAAGUAGGUCCCAAGGGUAUGGCUGUUCGCCAUUUAAAGUGGUACGCGAGCUGGGUUUAGAACGUCGUGAGACAGUUCGGUCCCUAUCUGCCGUGGGCGCUGGAGAACUGAGGGGGGCUGCUCCUAGUACGAGAGGACCGGAGUGGACGCAUCACUGGUGUUCGGGUUGUCAUGCCAAUGGCACUGCCCGGUAGCUAAAUGCGGAAGAGAUAAGUGCUGAAAGCAUCUAAGCACGAAACUUGCCCCGAGAUGAGUUCUCCCUGACUCCUUGAGAGUCCUGAAGGAACGUUGAAGACGACGACGUUGAUAGGCCGGGUGUGUAAGCGCAGCGAUGCGUUGAGCUAACCGGUACUAAUGAACCGUGAGGCUUAACCUU